UACGUAGGGGGCAAGCGUUGUCCGGAAUCAUUGGGCGUAAAGAGCGUGUAGGCGGCCCGGUAAGUCUGUUGUGAAAGUCCAGGGCUCAACCCUGGAAAGCCGAUGGAUACUGCCGGGCUAGAGUUCGGAAGAGGCGAGUGGAAUUCCUGGUGUAGGCGGUGGAAUGCGCAGAUAUCAGGAGGAACACCUAUAGCGAAGGCAGCUCGCUGGGACGACACUGACGCUGAGACGCGAAAGCGUGGGGAGCAAACAGG
rnacentral:rRNA from 1 species